AACACCGUAAAAUUACCAGCUCCGAGAAACCCAUAAAGAACCACAAUGUUCCCUGCAACAAGGUUCUUUACAUUCAAAUUCUCUCUUCCAUCUUGCACUUUCUCCACCAAAACCCACAUGGAAUCUCCACCAAGAAGCCUAAACUGCACUGUUUUAAACUUCGCUUCGCGUUCUCCUCCAAGAAAAGCUGAUGCCAAUGACACUGUUGAUGGGUCUAUAACUCUGCAGGAAUGGCAGGGAUGGGGCACUGUAUCGCCAGUUCCAGCAAAAGUUUUGGAAAUUGUCGAGGAUUUGAAGGUCUUGCAGAGAAAUAUUGAUACCCAGAUGACUUUUGGUGGCAAUGGUGGUAAACUUCAGGGGGAAUUUAAACUUCAUGAGGACAAGAAACACAGAGCAACAUAUGAGGCUUUAGGUGAUUCUGAAGAAAAGCUCCAAUUCUUUUCAGCUAGACAAAUAGCUUGUCGUGUACUUGGAAGUAGAGGUUAUCUUUGCCAGAAGUGCUGGCUUCCUCUAGAAGAAGAUUGCAUGUGUUCAAAAGUCAAGCACUCCUCUCUUUGGCCUGGUCUACGAUUUUGGUUGUAUAUGCAUCCAAAGGAUUUUUUACGCCAAAACAACACUGGGAAGUUGUUAUGGCAAGUAUUUGGAGUCCAAUCAGCAAUGUUAUGCCUAUUUGGCAUUCCUGAACACGAGGAAGUCAUGUGGAAUGCAUUCAAGCAUGCAGGAAAAGACAAGGUUUGGUGCCUUUAUCCUAACAAGAAUGCCAUUACAAAGUCCGUUCAAGAUGCCUUUGGUCAGAGAUUUUCUUCUGAUAUAGAGUGCUCUCCUACUGUGGCAAAUGAACACAAAACUCUGAAUUUUGUUUUGAUUGACGGCACAUGGAGUAACUCUGCUGCAAUGUUUAGGCGGUUAAAGGAGCAAACAAAGUCGGUAUGGGGAGAGGAGGAUCUUCCUUGCAUUUCCCUGGCCACUGGUGCAUCUAUGAUGCACAAACUUCGACCUCAGCCAUCAUAUGAUCGCACCUGUACAGCAGGAGCAGCCAUUGGCCUCCUCUCUGAGCUGCAAGAUCUUCCAGAGUUAAGCUCCUAUGGAUUGGAUAAACAGGCUGAAGCAUUAGAGGAUUCCUUAGAUGUUCUAUUGGAAGCACUAACAACUCGACGACUUAGGAUGGGCAGAUCAAUAACUCGUAAAGUGAGACAACAACAAUAUCCAUCAAGGGCCUGCCAGCUAUAAUAAUAUCCUUGGACAGUGAGACUUAGGUGUUCUUACUACAGAGGUUUGUUAUAUGGAAAUCUUUUUCAUUUAGCUGCGGAUCAAUCUAUAGUUACUUUCUACAGCAUCUGUUUCAGUAACUGGUUCUUUGUUGACUGGUUUACGGGAACGUCUAAGUGGCAAGGAAAACGUGCAAAUGCAGUGUAAGCAGAUUGAAACAUGAGAAUGAAAUAUAGUAAUAAAAUUAAGGUUAUCAUAUUUCGCUUGUCAUGAGGUUAUCCUAACCAUGAUUAUUGUCAGCAAUCAAGUCAGCAAUGAAGCAAUUUAUGGUGACUUGUUGUGCUAAGGUGCAUCACAUAUUGGUUCUCUUGAUAUGUAUUUUCUUGUAUGUUCAUCUUAAAUUGCUCCUGCUGAUUUUACAAAUAAUCGUUUGGGGUAGAAAACAAAGACGCAUUCGGGUGUGCGACUGCUGACAGUAUAUUCAAAAAAUCAAAGAGAACAACACUCUUUGUUUCCAGCUAAAAGAAUUCAUUAAGUUGCGAAAUUCUUAUGUGGACUUGGUUCCCUCUAUCAUCCCUGGAUAAAAUUAAUUGUAUGAUAAUAAUAAUAAUAAUAUCAAGUUUUUUAAUUA